GAUGAACGCUGGCGGCGUGCCUAAUACAUGCAAGUCGAGCGAACAGACGAGGAGCUUGCUCCUCUGACGUUAGCGGCGGACGGGUGAGUAACACGUGGAUAACCUACCUAUAAGACUGGGAUAACUUCGGGAAACCGGAGCUAAUACCGGAUAAUAUAUUGAACCGCAUGGUUCAAUAGUGAAAGACGGUUUUGCUGUCACUUAUAUAUGGAUCCGCGCCGCAUUAGCUAGUUGGUAAGGUAACGGCUUACCAAGGCAACGAUGCGUAGCCGACCUGAGAGGGUGAUCGGCCACACUGGAACUGAGACACGGUCCAGACUCCUACGGGAGGCAGCAGUAGGGAAUCUUCCGCAAUGGGCGAAAGUUUGACGGAGCAACGCCGCGCGAGUGAUGAAGGUCUUCGGAUCGUAAAACUCUGUUAUUAGGGAAGAACAAAUGUGUAAGUAACUAUGCACGUCUUGACGGUACCUAAUCAGAAAGCCACGGCUAACUACGUG
rnacentral:rRNA from 1 species